CCCUUAGAUGUUCUGGGCUGCACGCGCGCUACACUGAUGCGUUCAACAAGUGUUAACCUUGCCCGAUAGGGUUGGGUAAUCUUUUGAAAGCGCAUCGUGAUGGGGAUCGAUGACUGCAAUUGUUCAUCUUCAACGAGGAAUUCCUAGUAAGCGCAAGUCAUCAGCUUGCACUGAUUACGUCCCUGCCCUUUGUACACACCGCCCGUCACUCCUACCGAUUGAGUGAUCCGGUGAAUAGUUCGGAUCGUGCAGGUUGCCUUCGGGUGCUUGUAUGAGAAGUUCAGUAAACCUUAUCACUUAGAGGAAGGAGAAGUCGUAACA
rnacentral:rRNA from 1 species